rnacentral:rRNA from 1 species
UACGGGGGGGAGCAAGCGUUUGUUCGGAUUUACUGGGCGUAAAGGGCGCGUAGGCGGGCAGGCAAGUCGAAGGUGAAAUCUCUGAGCUUAACUCAGAAACUGCCAUGGAUACUAUUUGUCUUGAAUAUUGUGGAGGUAAGCGGAAUAUGUCAUGUAGCGGUGAAAUGCUUAGAUAUGACAUAGAACACCCAUUGCGAAGGCAGCUUACUACACAAUUAUUGACGCUGAGGCACGAAAGCGUGGGGAUCAAACAGG